GCUCAGGUCCCCUUCCACACUGUGGAAGCUUUGUUCUUUUGCUCCUUGCAAUAAAUCUUGCUACUGCUCACUGUUUGUGUCCACACUGACUUUAUGAGCUGUAACACUCACCAUGAAAGUCUGCAGCUUCACUCCUGAAGCCAGCAAGACAAUGAAACCACCAGGAGGAAUGGACAACAAUCACCUAUCACCAAGUGGUGAGACCAUUGCCUAUAGCUAAGUGGCAAGACAAUCACCUAUUGCCAAGCGGUUGAGCCAGAGUCAACAGAGAGGAAAGCCAUGCAGCUCUGGGUUCCCGACAACAAGUUUGUUGACCCUGCAGCCAUGAGCAGAACUCUCAAAGGCAUGUCACCCAAGCAAGACUCGCCCAUCUAUCCUAUCUAUCCUGACGCUUGACCCCUGGGUCCUAAUGCCUGCCAGACAAACUUCCUCUUACCUCUCUUCUCCAAGACUCUUUGGGAGCAGUGACUCUUCAAAACUGCUGAGGCCUAGACCUCCUCACUGCUGAAAAAGAAGGACUCUGCACCUUCUCAGGAUGAGGCCCCUAAAGUAUUUUCAACUCCAGAAGACUGAACAGCAAAGAAAAGCUAAAACAUCAGCAGGACAGAGGAUAUGCCUAAUCUAAAAACUAUCCUAGUUGUGGUUAGGAAGAUAAUUUCUUUGGAGUUAUUUACUUAGGUAAACCGCUAAUCUCAUGACUGCAUUACUUAGGUAAACCGCUAAUCUCAUGAGAUAUGGUGGUUUACCUGAGUAAUACAUUCGUUAACUUAUUAUCUCAUUGUUAUUUAUUUAUUUUAGUAGAAGCUUUGGUUUGUAGGAAUUUGUGUCAAAAUUCCAAUACUUAUUUGAUAAUAACCCUGCAGUUGGUUGAAUUUUCUAAAAAACAAACAAAAACUAUGUUGAAAUAAUAACGCUGAGGACCUGUGACUGUUUCUGUAUUUGGAAAUGUAAAUUUUUCAAGUAUAAUCAAAUUAAGGUAAAGUCACACUAGAUUAGGGUAUGCCCUAAAUUUAAUGUCUAGUAUCAUUAUAAAGAAAGAGACAUUUAGAGACACUGAGACACACACAGAGGGAAGACAGCCAUGUGACUACAGAGGUAGAUGCUGAAGCGAUACAGCUACAAGCUGAUGAAUGCCAAGGAUUACUGGCCAAAACAAGAAGCUGGGAAGGGCAUGGAAGAAUUCUUCUCUAGAAAUCUCAGAGGUCUGGCAACGUACUGACUUCAGACUUUUGGCUUCCAGAAUGAAGAAAAAAAUAUGUUUUUAAAAGCCAUUCAAAAUGUGGUAAUUUUUUAUGGUAGCUCUAGUAAUAUAAUGCAUUCUCAGAACUAUGAUUUUCCCUGAUUAUUAAUUAUCUACUCAUUGCUAUCUUUUUCAACAUUUUCUCAUUGCUAGCAAAAACAUAAUUUCCAACUUUUUGUAUAAAAGGUGUUGCUAUAUCUUUUAAAACUUCUAGUAAUC